AUUGAACGCUGGCGGUAGGCCUAACACAUGCAAGUCGAACGGCAGCACAGUAAUAGCUUGCUCUUACGGGUGGCGAGUGGCGGACGGGUGAGGAAUACCUCGGUAUCUACUUUUUCGUGGGUGAUAACGUAGGGAAACUUACCCUAAUACCGCAUACGACCUACGGGUGAAAGCAUGGGAUCUUCGGACCUUGCGCGAUUGAAUGACCCGAUGUCGGAUUAGCUAGUUGGCGGGGUAAAGGCCCACCAAGGCGACGAUCCGUAGCUGGUCUGAGAGGAUGAUCAGCCACACUGGAACUGAGACACGGUCCAGACUCCUACGGGAGGCAGCAGUGGGGAAUAUUGGACAAUGGGCGCAAGCCUGAUCCAGCCAUGCCGCGUGGGUGAAGAAGGCCUUCGGGUUGUAAAGCCCUUUUGUUGGGAAAGAAAAGCAGCAGGUUAAUACCCCGCUGUUCUGACGGUACCAAAAGAAUAAGCACCGGCUAACUUCGUG
rnacentral:rRNA from 1 species